rnacentral:rRNA from 1 species
AUUGAACGCUGGCGGCAUGCCUUACACAUGCAAGUCGAACGGCAGCGCGGACUUCGGUCUGGCGGCGAGUGGCGAACGGGUGAGUAAUGUAUCGGAACGUACCAUUGAGUGGGGGAUAACGUAGCGAAAGUUACGCUAAUACCGCAUAUUCUCUCCGGAGGAAAGCAGGGGACCGCAAGGCCUUGCGCUCUUUGAGCGGCCGAUAUCAGAUUAGCUAGUUGGUGGGGUAAAAGCUCACCAAGGCGACGAUCUGUAGCGGGUCUGAGAGGAUGAUCCGCCACACUGGAACUGAGACACGGUCCAGACUCCUACGGGAGGCAGCAGUGGGGAAUUUUGGACAAUGGGGGCAACCCUGAUCCAGCCAUGCCGCGUGAGUGAAGAAGGCCUUCGGGUUGUAAAGCUCUUUCGGCCGGGAAAAAAUCGCAUGGAUUAAUACUCUGUGUGGAUGAUGGUACCGGAAUAAGAAGCACCGGCUAACUACGUGCCAGCCGCCGCGGUAAAAC